rnacentral:misc_RNA from 1 species
GAUGAAGAACGCAGCGAAAUGCGAUACGUAAUGUGAAUUGCAGAAUUCCGUGAACCAUCGAAUCUUUGAACGCACAUUGCGCCCCCUGGCAUUCCGGGGGGCAUGCCUGUCCGAGCGUCAUUGCAAACCCUCAAGCCCAGCUUGCGUGAUGGGUCGCAGCGUCCCCGAACCUCCCGGGGACGGGCCCGAAAGGCAGUGGCGGCGUCGCGGUCAUCCGAUCAGCCCAAGCGUAUGGGGACCCUCCGUCACACGCUAGCGGCGCGGACCGACGCUCGCCCAAUCCGUCGAACGGUACUCAUGGUUUGACCUCGGAUCAGGUAGGGAUACCCGCUGAACUUAAGCAUAUCAAUAAGCGGAGGA